UGCGUAGGCCGCACGGUAAGUCAGAGGUGAAAUCCCGGAGCUCAACUUCGGAAUUGCCUCCGAUACUGCCGUGCUUGAGGACUGGAGAGGAGUCUGGAAUUCACAGUGGAGCAGUGAAAUGCGUAGAUAUUGUGAGGAACACUAGUGGCGAAGGCGAGACUCUGGACAGUUCCUGACGCUGAGGCACGAAGGCCAGGGGAGCAAACG
rnacentral:rRNA from 1 species